AUACAGUAAUUAAGGUAAGAGUGAUGAAUUUAAAGGUUGAAUAAAAAUAUUUUAAGAUAAAUUACACCGCCGUUGAUGGUAUAAAUAGUUUGAGUUAUGUAAUAUGUUGUACAGGGGUGAGAUUGGCUGCGAUUGAUCUGUUGGCGUAGAGCUGUGAGGGUUGAGAAGAUGAGAUUAGAGUAUUUCAAUGGAGUAUUGAUUAGGUCGGUAUAUGUUGCUGAAAUUAGCAAGCUAAUUAAUACGUCUAUAUU
rnacentral:lncRNA from 1 species